AAUUUAUCCAAGUGUCAGAAGCCGUAUGUGUAUGAGAGAUAAUCUCAUUGGUAUGAGAAAAGUUUUCAAAUUUAUCAUUUAAAAAACUAGUUUAUCCAGUCAUAAAUAACUACACAAUAUUCAGUAUUAUUAUUUAAAAUUUUCUCUAGAUAUUCUGUAUAAACAAUUUAUUUGUUAUUGUUUGCGUAUAGCGGUUCGUGUUGGCUGAAAAUGCCGGGUCCUCCUUACACCCUUGAAGAAGACAAAAAGAUAUUAAUGUAUAUGCUCGACAAGCACUAUGUAUCGUGGUCCAUGGGCAAUCUAGUCUGGAUAGAACUAGAAGAGCUAAACUUGCUGCCAGGUAGAACCUGGCAAAGCAUGAAGAAUCGCUGGCGCCGCGGGAUUGUACUCGAUUUAGCAAGGCCAGAGUACGAGCUUACACCAGAUGAAAGAAUUACAAUUAAAAGUUUGUUGGAGAAUGUAUCGAAAGUGGCAACGAAUAAAAAAAGGAUGGUGAACCAACCGGUGAACCCUAGAAACAGUCAAUCAAAAUCUAGAAACAGUCAAUCACAAUCUAGAAACAGUCAACAUACUGAGCAAGGUAUAAGCAAACGAAUUGCUGAGAGUGAUCAUAAUGAGCCUACAACAAGCAGAGGAAAGACUUCAUGGGAAAAAUAUUAUUCCCUAGAUAUGAGUUCAUCAUCAGACACUGAAUAGUAUACUUUGAUGUUUAACCUUAAUUUUUAUUUCAUUAAUUACUUAUACUAUUAAUUUAAUAUUUUUCUACUUUAAAGUUUAUUAUAAAGUUUUAUAAUUCGACUCUUGUUUGAUUCUCAACAUUUUUCCGAUACAGGAUUACUUAAUAACGUAUACCUAUAGGUAAUGUUAUUUUAAAAAAAAGAAAUUUUUAUUCUAGUUAUAGUAGACGGAGUUUUACAUUUUAAGUAAAUACAUAGAUAAAAUUACACCUAAGAUGGAAUUCAUAGAAUGUAUAAGUAUAUAAGUGUGUAUAAGUUAAAAGAAAUAAAACUGUGGUUCUCCAGAGAUGGUGGCUCAAUGUUUUGAUAUAUUCGAUGUUUGAAUGACCGCAGGGAAGCUGUCACGACUUCCAAUCCAUCGCUCACAUUUGCUGAUAUUUACUAAGAAUGUAGCUAGCGAAUGGAGUAACUUACCUUUGAUGAGAAACAGCAAUACUUGGAUGCAGCUGAGCAAGAUAGAGAGAGGUAAAAAUUACCAUAUUUUAAUCUAAUUUUUUAUGUCUGAAUCAAAGUAUAUAAAAGAAUAUAAAGCAUAUAGACUAGCAUACAAACAAUUUACCCAACUCCAAAAUGAGAAGAGACUCAAAGAUAACAAGGAAAAAGUUGUUAAACGGAAAGAAGAUGUUAAAACUAUAGUUUCAAUAGUUUGUUGUUGGCAAAUUCAUCUCAACCCCCUAGUAAGUAAAGACAUCCAGGAAAUGGACUUUGGCAACUUUGGUAUUCUCAUUUUUACUGAAUCCAAUUUUUUAUAUCUGUAAUAAGGCCAAGGGGAAAGCAUAUGGGAUCGGUACACCGCUAUCAAACCCAGCAAGAUUAAAUAAGAGGGAUCAAAUGGGGAUGUGGAUUGCGAUUCUUACCAUCUCUGGAAAGAGGACGUUGAAAUUCUGUGAAAUAUGAGCGUUCAUUUUUACAGAUUUUCUUUGUCUUGUACCAGAAUAUUACCCGAUGGCUAUAGUAUGAGCGUAAGUGCAGCUGGAAUUAAAUAUUACAUCAAUUUGAUCGACGUCUUGCUGGAGAAUGGAAUUGAACCAUUAGAUUGAUUAGAUUGAUUAUUAGAUCAGUUGGACUGGUGCAACCAUUAGAUCACUGGACGCCAUUUUAGCGGUGCUCAUGCUCAGGAUGAUUCACGUGGUGAAGAGGGAUCAGUCGCAUGGAGAAGAGAAAACAUCUGUUGAACACAAAAAGUAGUUUUUACCAUAUAAGCAUUGAAGAUAAUUAAAUAAUCAUAUUGCAUUGUAUAGAGAAAAUCUGUGUUGAAAAACCAUAAUAUAGAGAGUGUUUUUGAUUGAAGUGCCACAGCGUGAGUUCUCAGAUAUUUUUAAGGUAAAAACUGUUCUAAACGAUUUGUUCGUGAGAUACAUGGUGUCAUAAAUUUUGGGAAAAAAAUGUUUUUUUUAUAAUGUCUUCCGAGCCACUGCAGAUAUUUUUAUGAAGUUUAGUACAUGGGUCGCCUUACAAUUAAGGGUCAUUUUUCAUUGAAAAAAUAUUUUCCCAAAUUUUCACCAGCGACGUUCGUACAUAACGGCGUCUCGACUGAAUAUUUUUGAAGAAAAAAUGGUACGUCACGAUUUUUCACUAAAAUAAGAAUUAUUUCUAAAAUUCCCAGUCUUUUUGGAACAAAUUAUGUGUCUUGGCUUUUUUUGUCAAACGCACGGAUUUUGAUUAACAAAAUCAAAAUCAUUUUAAUGCAUGGCGGAAUUGGCGAAAAAUCGUUGACACCCUGUAUCUCGAAAACGAAGCAUUUUAGAACAAGUGUUUAUAUGAACUUUCCAGCUUAAAAAUAUGUCAGAAAUCACCCA